UCCGCUAAAGUGAACUGAAAGUAUUUUCAAAUAACUAUGGCAGAAAGCGGUGUAGAUGAUAUUGCCGGAACAUCUAACAAACACGUGGUUGCAAGGAAAAAAUCUAAACCUUCAAAAACUCCAACCGAGAGACAGCGAGUUUACAGAUUAAAAAAAAAUUAAUGAAGGAAGCCCAAAAUAUUCUGGCAAUCAACCAAUCUUUUUUAAGUUAAAUAAACUCUUUUUGCGUCUGGUUAGACUAUCGAACGUAAGGAGUAAACUCCAGUCGUGCGUCGGAGCUGACACACACAAUUUUUUUUUUUGAUGAAAUUAGUUUUGAAGGAAUCUUGAGGAUGUAUGGAAUGGAUUAAGGAUAGGUUGCCUUGUAAAAAUUAGCCGCAAUUACCGUCAAUCUACAGCAUUCGAAAGAAAAUGAUGUCACAAAUCGAAAUAAAAAUGGUUGCCAGCUCUCAGUCAGCCGCAGCAUUAGGGUUGCCAGGUGUAAACAGGUA